rnacentral:miRNA from 1 species
AUCUUGGAAGCUAAGCAGGGUCGGGCCUGGUUAGCACUUGGAUGGGAGAUUCAGUUUGCUGCUGAUGCACCUGGUGAGGCAGUGGAAGAUGAGCCUAGUGCUCGGAUCCCCACGUCCACUUGUGCAGUGCCUGGAUUU